rnacentral:rRNA from 1 species
CAUGCAAGUCGAACGAGAAUCUACUGAAAGAGUUUUCGGACGAUGGAAGUAGAGGAAAGUGGCGGACGGGUGAGUAACGCGUGAGGAACCUGCCUUGAAGAGGGGGACAACAGUUGGAAACGACUGCUAAUACCGCAUGAAGCAUAGGGGUCGCAUGAUUCUUAUGCCAAAGAUUUAUCGCUUCAAGAUGGCCUCGCGUCUGAUUAGCUAGUUGGCGGGGUAACGGCCCACCAAGGCGACGAUCAGUAGCCGGACUGAGAGGUUGAACGGCCACAUUGGGACUGAGAUACGGCCCAGACUCCUACGGGAGGCAGCAGUGGGGAAUAUUGGGCAAUGGGCGCAAGCCUGACCCAGCAACGCCGCGUGAAGGAAGAAGGCUUUCGGGUUGUAAACUUCUUUUAAGAGGGAAGAGCAGAAGACGGUACCUCUAGAAUAAGCCACGGCUAACUACGUGCCAGCAGCCGCGGUAAUACGUAGGUGGCAAGCGUUGUCCGGAUUUACUGGGUGUAAAGGGCGUGCAGCCGGGUCUGCAAGUCAGAUGUGAAGUCCAUGGGCUCAACCCAUGAACUGCAUUUGAAACUGUAGAUCUUGAGUGUCGGAGGGGCAAUCGGAAUUCCUAGUGUAGCGGUGAAAUGCGUAGAUAUUAGGAGGAACACCAGUGGCGAAGGCGGAUUGCUGGACGAUAACUGACGGUGAGGCGCGAAAGUGUGGGGAGCAAACAGGAUUAGAUACCCUGGUAGUCCACACUGUAAACGAUGAAUACUAGGUGUGCGGGGACUGACCCCCUGCGUGCCGCAGUAAACACAACAAGUAUUCCACCUGGGGAGUACGAUCGCAAGG